UUAAGCAUAUCAAUAAGCGGAGGAAAAGAAACCAACAGGGAUUGCCUCAGUAACGGCGAGUGAAGCGGCAACAGCUCAAAUUUGAAAUCUGGCUCCUCUCGGGGUCCGAGUUGUAAUUUGUAGAGGAUGCUUCGGGUGCGGCACCGGUCUAAGUCCCUUGGAACAGGGCGUCAUAGAGGGUGAGGAUCCCGUUUGUGACCGGCGACCAAGCCCAUGUGAAGCUCCUUCGACGAGUCGAGUUGUUUGGGAAUGCAGCUCAAAAUGGGUGGUAAAUUUCAUCUAAAGCUAAAUACCGGCCAGAGACCGAUAGCGCACAAGUAGAGUGAUCGAAAGAUGAAAAGCACUUUGGAAAGAGAGUCAAAAAGUACGUGAAAUUGUUGAAAGGGAAGCGCUUGUAACCAGACCUGCCGUCGGGUGUUCCGCGGGCAUUCUUGCCCGUCCACUCACCCGCGAUCAGGCCAGCAUCGGUUUUGGCGGCCGGAUAAAGACUCGAGGAAUGUAGCUUCGCUUCGGGGAAGUGUUAUAGCCUCUUGUGCAAUACGGCCAGCCGGGACCGAGGACCGCGCUUCGGCUAGGAUGCUGGCGUAAUGGUUGCAAGCGACCCGUCUUGAAACACGGACCAAGGAGUCUAACAUCUAUGCGAGUGUUUGGGUGUCAAACCCAUGCGCGGAAUGAAAAUGAACGGAGGUGGGAACCCUCAAGGGCGCACCAUCGACCGAUCCGGAAGUUUACGGAUGGAUUUGAGUAUGAGCAUAGCUGUUGGGACCCGAAAGAUGGUGAACUAUGCCUGAAUAGGGUGAAGCCAGAGGAAACUCUGGUGGAGGCUCGCAGCGGUUCUGACGUGCAAAUCGAUCGUCAAAUUUGGGUAUAGGGGCGAAAGACUAAUCGAACCAUCUAGUAGCUGGUUCCUGCCGAAGUUUCCCUCAGGAUAGCAGUAACGUUUUCAGUUUUAUGAGGUAAAGCGAAUGAUUAGAGGCCUGGGGGAUGAAACAUCCUUCACCUAUUCUCAAACUUUCAAUAUGUAAGAAGUCCUUGUUACUUAGUUGAACGUGGACAUUUGAAUGCACCGUUACUAGUGGGCCAUUUUUGGUAAGCAGAACUGGCGAUGCGGGAUGAACCGAACGUGGGGUUAAGGUGCCGGAAUGUACGCUCAUCAGACACCACAAAAGGUGUUGAUUCAUCUAGACAGCCGGACGGUGGCCAUGGAAGUCGGAAUCCGCUAAGGAGUGUGUAACAACUCACCGGCCGAAUGAAUCAGCCCUGAAAAUGGAUGGCGCUCAAGCGUGCUACCCAUACCCCGCCGCCAGGGUAGAAACGAUGCCCUGGCGAG
rnacentral:rRNA from 1 species